CUACCAUGGCUUUCACGGGUAACGGAGGAUUAGGGUUCGAUUCCGGAGAGGGAGCCUGAGAAACGGCUACCACAUCUAAGGAAGGCAGCAGGCGCGUAAAUUACCCAAUUCUGACUCAGAGAGGUAGUGACAAGAAAUAACGGGUCGGGACUCUGUCCCGGGACUGCAAUGAGCCGAAUCUACACACCUUCGUGAGUAACAAUUGGAGGGCAAGUCUGGUGCCAGCAGCCGCGGUAAUUCCAGCUCCAAUAGCGUAUAUUAAAGUUGUUGCAGUUAAAAAGCUCGUAGUUGGAUUUCUGGCAGGGUGGCCUUGCCCUCAGUUGAGUGUGCAAUUUUGCCCUUCCAUCCUUCUGUUAACUUUUGAGAGUUUAACGCUUUCCUAAGGGCUCAGAUAUUUUACCUUGAGAAAAUUAGAGUGUUUCAGGCAGGCUAGGCCGGAAUACAUUAGCAUGGAAUAAUGGAAUAGGACUUUUGCCUCUUCUGUUGGUCUGAGGGGUUAGAGUAAUGAUUAAUAGGGAUAGUUGGGGGCAUUAGUACUUAACUGUCAGAGGUGAAAUUCUCGGAUUUGUUAAGACUAACUUAUGCGAAGCAUUUGCCAAGGAUGUUUUCAUUAAUCAA
rnacentral:rRNA from 1 species